UUGUUGGUGGGGUAACGGCCUACCAAGGCGAUGGCGGGUAGCUGGUCUGAGAGGACGACCAGUCACACUGGGACUGAGAUACUGCCCAGACUCCUACGGGAGGCUGCAGUCGAGAAUCUUCCGCAAUGGGCGAAAGCCUGACGGAGCGACACCGCGUGCAGGAUGAAGGCCUUCGGGUUGUAAACUGCUGUCACGCCAUAGGAAUUCCCUGCUAGACAGGGUUGACCAAAGCGAGAGGAAGCACCGGCUAACUCCGUGCCAGCAGCCGCGGUAAUACGGAGGGUGCAAACGUUGUUCGGAAUCACUGGGCAUAAAGAGCACGUAGGCGGUCUAUUUGGUCGGAUGUGAAAGCCCCCGGCUCAACCGGGGAACUGCAUUCGAUACCGAUAGACUCGAGGAUGGUCGGGGUGAGUGGAACUCCAGGUGGAGCGGUGAAAUGCGUAGAUAUCUGGAGGAACACCGGUGGCGAAAGCGGCUCACUGGACCAUUUCUGACGCUGAGGUGCGAAAGCUAGGGUAGCGAACGGGAUUAGAUACCCCGGUAGUCCUAGCCGUAAACGAUGGGCACUAGGCAAGGGGAAUGCCUAUGGUUUUCCUUGCCGUAGCAAAUGUGUUAA
rnacentral:rRNA from 1 species